rnacentral:misc_RNA from 1 species
UCCGGUUUAUCACCGGCAGUCUCGCUAGAGUCCCCAACUGAAUGAUGGUAACUAGCGACAGGGGUUGCGCUCGUUGCCGGACUUAACCGAACACCUCACAGCACGAGCUGACGACAGCCAUGCAGCACCUGUCUCCGAGCUCCCUCGUGAGAGGGCACCCCCGCGUUUCCGCGGAGUACUCGGGAUGUCAAGCCUGGGUAAGGUUCUGCGCGUUGCUUCGAAUUAAACCACAUGCUCCACCGCUUGUGCGGGCCCCCGUCAGUUCCUUUGAGUUUUAGCCUUGCGGCCGUACUCCCCAGGCGGGAUGCUUAAAGCGUUAGCUGCGGCACGGGGGGGGUCGACACCUCCCACACCUAGCACCCAUCGUUUACGGCGUGGACUAC